UACGUAGGGGGCAAGCGUUGUCCGGAAUUAUUGGGCGUAAAGCGCGCGUAGGCGGUUACUUAAGUCGGAUGUGAAAGCCCUUGGCUCAACUGAGGAAGUGCAUCCGAAACUGAGUAGCUUGAGUACGAAAGAGGGUCGCGGAAUUCCCAGUGUAGAGGUGAAAUUCGUAGAUAUUGGGAGGAACACCGGUGGCGAAGGCGGCGACCUGGGUCGAGACUGACGCUGAGGCGCGAAAGCGUGGGGAGCAAACAGG
rnacentral:rRNA from 1 species